rnacentral:rRNA from 1 species
GACGAACGCUGGCGGCGUGCUUAACACAUGCAAGUCGAACGGAAAGGCCCUGCUUUUGUGGGGUGCUCGAGUGGCGAACGGGUGAGUAACACGUGAGUAACCUGCCCUUGACUUUGGGAUAACUUCAGGAAACUGGGGCUAAUACCGGAUAGGAGCUCCUGCUGCAUGGUGGGGGUUGGAAAGUUUCGGCGGUUGGGGAUGGACUCGCGGCUUAUCAGCUUGUUGGUGGGGUAGUGGCUUACCAAGGCUUUGACGGGUAGCCGGCCUGAGAGGGUGACCGGCCACAUUGGGACUGAGAUACGGCCCAGACUCCUACGGGCGGCAGCAGUGGGGAAUAUUGCACGAUGGGCGGAAGCCUGAUGCAGCAACGCCGCGUGCGGGAUGACGGCCUUCGGGUUGUAAACCGCUUUCGCCUGUGACGAAGCGUGAGUGACGGUAAUGGGUAAAGAAGCACCGGCUAACUACGUG